rnacentral:rRNA from 1 species
AUGGCUCUGUGGCGGCGCAGCUCGUCCUGGCUCACGUCCUGCUCGCGCGCGCCGGCGGGCAUCGGCGGCGGGAACGAGGCCAAGGUCUCGCCCGAGGUCGCGCCGGAGGAGGCGCGGGAGGAGGACCGCCGGGCGGAGGCCGAGGACGAGGAGAGGUGGUCCCGCCUGCUGCCCGAGCUGCUCACGGACAUCGUGCGCCGCGUCGACGCCGGCGCCGAGCGCUGGCCCCCGCGCCGCGACGUCGUCGCCUGCGCCUGCGUCUGCCGCCGAUGGCGCGACGCCGCCGUCUCCGUCGUGCGCCCGCCGCUCGAGUGCGGCAGGAUCACCUUCCCUUCCUCGCUCAAGCAGCCUGGACCGAGGGAUGCGCCGAUGCACUGCUUCAUCAGGAGGAACAAAAGCACCUCCACCUUUUAUCUUUAUCUCAGCUUAACACAGGCCCUAACGGAUAAAGGGAAGUUUCUACUGGCUGCUCGAAGAUUCAGACAUGGGGCACACACCGAAUAUAUCAUCUCUUAUGAUUCUGAUGAUCUAUAUCCAGGAAGUAAUUCAGGUGUUGGAAAGCUGAGAUCGGACUUCCUGGGGACAAAGUUCCUCAUGUACGACAAUCAGAAACCAUACGACGGCGCCAAGUCCUUGAAGAGCCGAUCAAGUCGCCGCUUUGCAAGCAAACAAAUCAGCCCACUUUCAGGCGAUAAUCUUGAAGUUGGACAGGUGUCAUACAGGUUCAACUUCCUCAAAUCAAGAGGGCCGAGAAGAAUGCACUGCAGUAUCCAGUGCCCCGUAGGCCAGGGCACCGCAUCCGAUCCAUCCAAGGAGAAGCCACCGAGCACCUCCAGCUCCUUGUCUCUAAAAAACAAAGCGCCUCGAUGGCACGACCACCUGCAGUGCUGGUGCUUGAAUUUUCACGGCCGGGUGACCGUCGCCUCCGUGAAGAACUUCCAGCUCGUCGCCCCGGCCGGCACCAGCGACCCAUGGGGCGUCGGGGACGAGGAGACGGUGAUCCUCCAGUUCGGUAAGAUCGAGGACGACGCCUUCACGAUGGACUUCCGGCAUCCCCUGUCGGCCUACCAGGCGUUUGCCAUCUGCCUCACCAGCUUUGGCACGAAGCUGGCCUGUGAAUAA